UGCAAGGUAAACUAAUGGUAAGUUAUUAGGCUCAUAACCUAAAUAUAAAAGUUCGAUUCUUUUCCUUGUAA
rnacentral:tRNA from 1 species